ensembl:lncRNA
GGAGGGAUGGGGUGCGUCGCUUCGGGAAGCACUGAGAGACGGACGUGGAAGGCUAACCUGUGGACCACCGCGGAGCUAGUAAUCUUCAUGGAAUCUCAGUUUCCCCUUCUGAGAAGCGGCGGCCAGUCCUCCGCAGGCCCAGCACCUGGAUGCCACAGCUGCGCUCUUCGGCUUCCCUCCUGCACCGGGCAACCCCUGGCCCUGGAAGGGCCCGGGGCCGGCACAGUCGCGGAUUUCGGGAAUCAUCUCUGCCCAGACUGAGGGGGCACGGGGCCUCCAGAAGAAGGAGCCCUGCUCUGCUUGUCGAGUGCUGGGCAGGCUUUUGGGAGAAGACAGCUUCGAGCUGAGGCCUGAGGGAUGAGUAGUAGUUCUUAUGCCCCGAGAGUGAUGUUGAGUGGGAGAGCCUAAGUCUCGAAUUUGAAGACUUUAGGACGCCACCGCACGGAGCUCAGAGGAGGUUGCAUCUGACCUUAUUGUUGUAGUGACCCUAUUGUUAAUGGACUGGGAGACUUUCAAGACGUUUAAAAUGUAUCGAGGGUGCUGACAAGACAGGGAAGACAUUUAGAUUUGAGUGCGGCGUCCCGCGUGUGUAGCAGUCUCCUUGACCCGCAGUGUAGAGGGCAGGGAUACGGGGAUGACCCUGUGACCACCAUCCUGGCAGGAAGAGGUCCUGGGGACUGAGAAAUCUUGACUGGCUGGAAAGGCAUAUCCUGGAAGGAAAGGAAUCCGGAGAAUCUGAAGUGGGGGAAGUGAGGGUGGGGAGAAAUAGGGCAGAGUCAAGGACAACUUUGUGGUGUCAAGAUUAGGUGCCUGGGCUGUUGCUUGAGGGGCUCUUGCUCAGUCGUGUCCGACUCUUUGCGACGCCAUGGACUAUGCAGUCUGUGGAAUUCUCCAGGCCAGAAGGGAUAGGCUACCCACUCCAGUAUUCUGGCUUGGAGAAUUCCAUGGACUGUAUAGUCCAUGGGAUUGCAAAGAGUCAGACAGGACUGAGCAACUUUCACUUCACUUUAUGAAAUGCAAAGAAAUCUUAACCUAGGAGAAGAAACAACACAACGUGGAAGAGG